GACGAACGCUGUCGGCGUGCCUAAUACAUGCAAGUCGAACGCAGUGGGGACGGUUGAGUAACACGUGGGUAACCUCCCCAUCAGAGGGGAUAACCCUUGGCAACAGGUGCUAAACCGAUACUGAUUGAUGAACCCGCGUUUCAUUAGCUAGUUGGUGAGGUAACGACUCACCAAGGCCACGAUGCAUAGCCGACCUGAGAGGGGGAUCGGCUACACUGGGACUGAGACACGGCCCAGACUCCUACGGGAGGCAGCAGUAGGGAAUCUUCGGCAAUGGACGAAAGUCUGACCGAGCAACGCCGCGGGAGUGAAGAAGGUUUUCGGAUCGUAAAACUCUGUUGUUAGAGAAGCGGUAUCUAACCAGAAAGCCACGGCUAACUACGUGCCAGCAGCCGCGGUAAUAC
rnacentral:rRNA from 1 species